rnacentral:tRNA from 5 species
GCGGGUAUAGUUUAGUGGUAAAACCAAGCUAAUGAUGCGGGUUCGAUUCCCGCUACCCGCC